GAAUAUUGGGCAAUGGGCGCAAGCCUGACCCAGCAACGCCGCGUGGAGGAAGACGGCCUUCGGGUUGUAAACUCCUUUUACGGGGGAAGAGGAAGGACGGUACCCCGAGAAUAAGUCACGGCUAACUACGUGCCAGCAGCCGCGGUAAUACGUAGGUGACAAGCGUUAUCCGGAAUUACUGGGCGUAAAGCGCACGCAGGCGGCGCACUAAGUCUGACGUGAAAUCUCCUGGCUUAACUGGGAGGGGUCGUUGGAGACUGGAGUGCUUGAGGCGAUGAGAGGGGUGUAGAAUUCCCGGUGUAGUGGUGGAAUGCGUAGAUAUCGGGAGGAAUACCAGUGGCGAAAGCGACACCCUGGCAUUAGCCUGACGCUCAGGUGCGAAGGCGUGGGGAGCGAACGGG
rnacentral:rRNA from 1 species